CUCCAAACUGCAUUUGAAACUGCUUUUCUUGAGUAUCGGAGAGGUAAUCGGAAUUCCUUGUGUAGCGGUGAAAUGCGUAGAUAUAAGGAAGAACACCAGUGGCGAAGGCGGAUUACUGGACGACAACUGACGGUGAGGCGCGAAAGCGUGGGGAGCAAACAGGAUCAGAUACCCUGGUAGUCCACGCUGUAAACGAUCAAUACUAGGUGUGCGGGGACUGACCCCCUGCGUGCCGCAGUUAACACAAUAAGUAUUGCACCUGGGGAGUACGAUCGCAAGGUUGAAACUCAAAGGAAUUGACGGGGGCCCGCACAAGCGGUGGAUUAUGUGGUUUAAUUCGAAGCAACGCGAAGAACCUUACCAGGACUUGACAUCCUACUAACGAGGUAGAGAUACGUCAGGUGCCCUUCGGGGAAAGUAGAGACAGGUGGUGCAUGGUUGUCGUCAGCUCGUGUCGUGAGAUGUUGGGUUAAGUCCCGCAGCGAGCGCAACCCCUAUUGUUAGUUGCUACGCAAGAGCACUCUAGCGAGACUGCCGUUGACAAAACGGAGGAAGGUGGGGACGACGUCAAAUCAUCAUGCCCCUUAUGUCCUGGGCUACACACGUAAUACAAUGGCGGUCAACAGAGGGAUGCAAAGCCGUGAGGCAGAGCGAACCCCUAAAAGCCGUCUCAGUUCGGAUCGUAGGCUGCAACUCGCCUACGUGAAGUCGGAAUCGCUAGUAAUCGCGGAUCAGAAUGCCGCGGUGAAUACGUUCCCGGGCCUUGUACACACCGCCCGUCACACCAUGAGAGUCGGGAACACCCGAAGCCCGUAGCCUAACUGCAAAGAGGGCGCGGUCGAAGGUGGGUUCGAUAAUUGGGGUG
rnacentral:rRNA from 1 species